GUGUCAGCAGCCGCGGUAAUACAGAGGGUGCGAACGUUGUUCGGAAUUACUGGGCAUAAAGCGCGCGUAGGCGGCGACGUAAGUGUCGGGUGAAAUCCCACGGCCCACCCGUGUGAAUUGCUGGGCAUACUGCGUUGCUCGAGUGUGGUAGGGGAGAGCGGAACUCCUGGUGGAGCGGUGAAAUGCGUAGAUAUCAGGAGGAACACCGGUGGCGAAGGCGGCUCUCUGGUCCACUACUGACGCUGAAGUGCGAAAGCUAGGGUAGCGAACGGGAUUAGAUACCCCUGUAGUCC
rnacentral:rRNA from 1 species